CUUAAAAGCCUAAAUAGUGUUUCCUUGUUAGAAGAUACAAAGGCAAAGACUCAUACGGAGUUUAGCUACACCAUCAAAUCUUUGAGAAGUAAGAAGAACCUU
rnacentral:sRNA from 1 species